GAGCCAGCUCAGUUGGUAGAGCACCGGUCUUUUAAACCGGUGGUCCCGGGUUCGACCCCCGGACGGCUCACUA
rnacentral:tRNA from 1 species